rnacentral:rRNA from 1 species
AUUGCCUUAGUAACGGCGAGUGAAGCGGCAAAAGCUCAGAUUUGAAAUCUGGUGUCAUUUUGGCAUCCGAGUUGUAGUCUGUAGAGGUGUAUUCGAGUGUGGAUUUGGCUUAAGUUCCUUGGAACAGGGCGUCAUAGAGGGUGAGAACCCCGUUAAUGGCCUUUGUCUUAUGCUCAUGUGAAUCUCCUUCAACGAGUCGAGUUGUUUGGGAAUGCAGCUCUAAAUGGGUGGUAAAUUCCAUCUAAAGCUAAAUACUGGCAAGAGACCGAUAGCGCACAAGUAGAGUGAUCGAAAGAUGAAAAGAACUCUGAACAGAGAGUUAAAUAGUACGUGAAAUUGUUGAAAGGGAAGCACUUGUGACCAGACGCACUUGCAGCCGAUCAAUUCUCAUUUUUGAGGGUGCACUCGGUUGUCUGUGGGUCAGCAUCAGUUAUAGCGGUAGGAAAAAGACUUGGGGAAUGUAGCUCCUUUCGGGGAGUGUUAUAGCCUUGUGUGCAAUGCUGCCUGCUGUGACUGAGGACCGCGCUUUGGCGAGGAUGCUGACAUAAUGGUCGUAAGUGACCCGUCUUGAAACACGGACCAAGGAGUCUAACAUCUAUGCGAGUGUUUGGGUGUACAAACCCUUACGCGGAAUGAAAGUAAAUGGAGGUGGGAACCGCAAGGUGCACCAUCGACCGAUCCUGAUGUUUUCGGAUGGAUUUGAGUAGGAGCAUAGCUGUUGGGACCCGAA